UCCAUCUCCUCUUGUAAAGCAAACGCUGCUGCUUUUUCUUCUCUCCUCUAUCACCACAGGAAAAUAAGGUUGAAAUGUUGAAUCUCUUGAUCUUGUGGACACGCUGUGCUAUGAGUUUAUGGAUGCAGUAGUCUUUUUAUGUCUAAAAACUACAUUUCCAGCAUUGCUCCUCAAUAACUGGCUCUUGUUAUGAUUCUGCCUCCUCUUCUGCAUUGUUCUCAGAGCCUUGGAGAAGGGCUGAGGUUUGGCACUUGGUCAUCAGAAUCUGACUACAAGAACUCAUAAGUCAUGGUGUGCCAGCCACAUUUUCCAGACCAUCCACAGUGGUCAUCUCCUAAGUGAGGGACAAGACUAUAACUCCAUCAUUCGAGAAGAAGAAGCAAAAUAAAUCCUGAGUUUGAAGGCAGUAUGGGCUCCACAAUGACUUCUAUAGAAAGACUAUCUCAAGGAAACAAGGAGACAGAAGUGAAAAAAGACCGAAUGGAAGAAAGGAAGGAAACAACCUUAAAUGCAUGUGUUGUGGGUAGGGAAAUGCAAGGAGUAGAUCAGAGCAAGAAACUGAAAGAACACAUCUCCUACCAAAGAAAGUGAACUGGCAGUAGUGUGAAGCUAAAUCUACUCAAAGCAUAACCUAGUAAUGAACUUCCUUCAGCUACACUGUGCCCCUUAAAGGUUCCUUGAAUUUUUUGAUCCAGAAGCACCAACCAGAGACCAAGUGUUCAA
ensembl:lincRNA Gm42825 predicted gene 42825